AGGGCCACGGGGUCGACCGCGCGGGUCACGACCAGAUAGUCGCGAAUCACGAUGCCGUGCCGGUUCUC
rnacentral:sRNA from 1 species